rnacentral:rRNA from 1 species
AUGCGUCCCAUUAGCUAGUUGGUAAGGUAACGGCUUACCAAGGCAACGAUGGGUAGGGGUCCUGAGAGGGAGAUCCCCCACACUGGUACUGAGACACGGACCAGACUCCUACGGGAGGCAGCAGUGAGGAAUAUUGGACAAUGGGCGCAAGCCUGAUCCAGCCAUGCCGCGUGCAGGAUGAA